UGCUCGGGUAGCUCAGCAGGAUAGAGCAGUCGUUUCCUAAACGACAGGUCGGCGGUUCGAAUCCGCCCCCGAGUGU
rnacentral:tRNA from 1 species